GGAUGCGUAGCUCAGUUGGUAGAGCAACUGACUCUUAAUCAGUGGGUCCAGGGUUCGAGUCCCUGCGCGUCCACCA
rnacentral:tRNA from 3 species